UGUAGCUCAGUAGGGGAGUGUGUGCUUCGCAUGCACAAGGCCCUGGGUUCGAUCCCCAGCA
rnacentral:tRNA from 1 species